AAAUACAGUAGUCUUGCAUAGCCAACCCUCCCUCUGGCUAUGCAGUUAAUGUAUGAUGCUGCUCCUUAUCUACUUUUGGUGAUAUUAUUUAUUUAUUAUUUAGAUACGUAAACCUGAUAUUGAUCGUCAUCAUUCUAAUGAUGGUGGUCUUAGUAAGGUGUCUUUGCGUGUUCAAGGCCCACCUUAUUCCAAUAGUUUUACACACAGCAUUACUAUUACUGGAACAAGAGAUCCAUCAUUAUCUAUUGCAAUUACAUGCUCAGAUCUUUUAUUGCUACCUCUUGUAGUAAGAGAUGAUGAUGAACCUCCUCCAGUUGUUAAUCCCAGCAUUAGAGAGCUAAUGAUAGAAGUUGCUGCCAAAGCUCCCAAGGAAUGGAUAAAAAUUGGGACAAUGCUUGACAUUGAUCAACAUGUGUUGGAUGGUUUCAAAUCUCAAUAUAGUCCUGAUUUGAUGGAAUGUUAUCGUGCUGUUUUUAAUCACUGGAGAGUUACUACUCCACUUCCUUACACUUGGGCUACUAUUGUAGAGGUUUUAGAAUCAGGUGUAGUUCAAAGAAAUGAUCUAGCAGAAGAAAUUAAAAGAAAAUAUCUGAGAAAGUUUUGACCAUAAAGGUUCCCAUAUUGUCUGUUUAGUGUUGUUAUAUUUUAUUCGUAAAAUUUGCUGACAUAAAACUUUGUAUUGUUAAUAGUAUUUACAAUUAACUGUUAACUAAUGUACAUGUAUGUAUGAAUAAUGUAUUGUGUCUGAGUUAUUAUUACUGUUGUCAUCAUUAUUAUUAUUAGUAUUAAAGUGUGUUUGUUUUUAAAGUUAUUAUUAUUUGUCAUCUCUUGCUUCUUGUCUUGAUGAGUGUCUCCUCCUAACAGCUAAAGAUGGAGGACGACUACCAGCAUCACUUCUCCUCUCUUCUUCAUCAUCACUCUCUGAU